rnacentral:rRNA from 1 species
UGAGGAACAUGACCUUCGGCGGGGGAUAGCCGGCCCAACGGCCGGGUAAUACCGCGUACGACCCUCGGGGGGCAUCCCCUGAAGGUGAAAGCCGCAAGGCGCCGAUGGAGAACUUCGCGGCCUAUCAGCUAGUUGGUGGGGUCAUGGCUCACCAAGGCGACGACGGGUAGCCGGUCCGAGAGGAUGACCGGCCACACUGGGACUGAGACACGGCCCAGACUCCUACGGGAGGUAG